GGGCUAACUUCGGCAACACAUAUACUAAAAUUGGAAAGAUACAGAGGUUAGCAUGGCCCCUGUGCAAGGAUGACAUGCAAAUUUGGGAAGUGUUCCACUUGCUU